rnacentral:rRNA from 1 species
GAUUAAGUUAUUAAGGGCGCACGGUGGAUGCCUUGGCACUAGAAGCCGAUGAAGGACGUUACUAACGACGAUAUGCUUUGGGGAGCUGUAAGUAAGCUUUGAUCCAGAGAUUUCCGAAUGGGGAAACCCAGCAUGAGUUAUGUCAUGUUAUCGAUAUGUGAAUACAUAGCAUAUCAGAAGGCACACCCGGAGAACUGAAACAUCUUAGUACCCGGAGGAAGAGAAAGAAAAUUCGAUUCCCUUAGUAGCGGCGAGCGAAACGGGAAGAGCCCAAACCAACAAGCUUGCUUGUUGGGGUUGUAGGACACUCUAUACGGAGUUACAAAGGACGACAUUAGACGAAUCAUCUGGAAAGAUGAAUCAAAGAAGGUAAUAAUCCUGUAGUCGAAAAUGUUGUCUCUCUUGAGUGGAUCCUGAGUACGACGGAGCACGUGAAAUUCCGUCGGAAUCUGGGAGGACCAUCUCCUAAGGCUAAAUACUCUCUAGUGACCGAUAGUGAACCAGUACCGUGAGGGAAAGGUGAAAAGCACCCCGGAAGGGGAGUGAAAUAGAACCUGAAACCGUGUGCUUACAAGUAGUCAGAGCCCGUUAAUGGGUGAUGGCGUGCCUUUUGUAGAAUGAACCGGCGAGUUACGAUUUGAUGCAAGGUUAAGCAGUAAAUGUGGAGCCGUAGCGAAAGCGAGUCUGAAUAGGGCGUUUAGUAUUUGGUCGUAGACCCGAAACCAGGUGAUCUACCCUUGGUCAGGUUGAAGUUCAGGUAACACUGAAUGGAGGACCGAACCGACUUACGUUGAAAAGUGAGCGGAUGAACUGAGGGUAGCGGAGAAAUUCCAAUCGAACCUGGAGAUAGCUGGUUCUCUCCGAAAUAGCUUUAGGGCUAGCCUCAAGUGAUGAUUAUUGGAGGUAGAGCACUGUUUGGACGAGGGGCCCCUCUCGGGUUACCGAAUUCAGACAAACUCCGAAUGCCAAUUAAUUUAACUUGGGAGUCAGAACAUGGGUGAUAAGGUCCGUGUUCGAAAGGGAAACAGCCCAGACCACCAGCUAAGGUCCCAAAAUAUAUGUUAAGUGGAAAAGGAUGUGGCGUUGCCCAGACAACUAGGAUGUUGGCUUAGAAGCAGCCAUCAUUUAAAGAGUGCGUAAUAGCUCACUAGUCGAGUGACACUGCGCCGAAAAUGUACCGGGGCUAAACAUAUUACCGAAGCUGUGGAUUGUCCUUUGGACAAUGGUAGGAGAGCGUUCUAAGGGCGUUGAAGCAUGAUCGUAAGGACAUGUGGAGCGCUUAGAAGUGAGAAUGCCGGUGUGAGUAGCGAAAGACGGGUGAGAAUCCCGUCCACCGAUUGACUAAGGUUUCCAGAGGAAGGCUCGUCCGCUCUGGGUUAGUCGGGUCCUAAGCUGAGGCCGACAGGCGUAGGCGAUGGAUAACAGGUUGAUAUUCCUGUACCACCUAUAAUCGUUUUAAUCGAUGGGGGGACGCAGUAGGAUAGGCGAAGCGUGCGAUUGGAUUGCACGUCUAAGCAGUAAGGCUGAGUAUUAGGCAAAUCCGGUACUCAUUAAGGCUGAGCUGUGAUGGGGAGAAGACAUUGUGUCUUCGAGUCGUUGAUUUCACACUGCCGAGAAAAGCCUCUAGAUAGAAAAUAGGUGCCCGUACCGCAAACCGACACAGGUAGUCAAGAUGAGAAUUCUAAGGUGAGCGAGCGAACUCUCGUUAAGGAACUCGGCAAAAUGACCCCGUAACUUCGGGAGAAGGGGUGCUCUUUAGGGUUAACGCCCAGAAGAGCCGCAGUGAAUAGGCCCAAGCGACUGUUUAUCAAAAACACAGGUCUCUGCUAAACCGUAAGGUGAUGUAUAGGGGCUGACGCCUGCCCGGUGCUGGAAGGUUAAGAGGAGUGGUUAGCUUCUGCGAAGCUACGAAUCGAAGCCCCAGUAAACGGCGGCCGUAACUAUAACGGUCCUAAGGUAGCGAAAUUCCUUGUCGGGUAAGUUCCGACCCGCACGAAAGGCGUAACGAUUUGGGCACUGUCUCAACGAGAGACUCGGUGAAAUCAUAGUACCUGUGAAGAUGCAGGUUACUCGCGACAGGACGGAAAGACCCCGUGGAGCUUUACUGUAGCCUGAUAUUGAAAUUCGGCACAGCUUGUACAGGAUAGGUAGGAGCCUUUGAAACGUGAGCGCUAGCUUACGUGGAGGCGCUGGUGGGAUACUACCCUAGCUGUGUUGGCUUUCUAACCCGCACCACUUAUCGUGGUGGGAGACAGUGUCAGGCGGGCAGUUUGACUGGGGCGGUCGCCUCCUAAAAGGUAACGGAGGCGCUCAAAGGUUCCCUCAGAAUGGUUGGAAAUCAUUCAUAGAGUGUAAAGGCAUAAGGGAGCUUGACUGCGAGACCUACAAGUCGAGCAGGGUCGAAAGACGGACUUAGUGAUCCGGUGGUUCCGCAUGGAAGGGCCAUCGCUCAACGGAUAAAAGCUACCCCGGGGAUAACAGGCUUAUCUCCCCCAAGAGUUCACAUCGACGGGGAGGUUUGGCACCUCGAUGUCGGCUCAUCGCAUCCUGGGGCUGUAGUCGGUCCCAAGGGUUGGGCUGUUCGCCCAUUAAAGCGGUACGCGAGCUGGGUUCAGAACGUCGUGAGACAGUUCGGUCCCUAUCCGUCGUGGGCGUAGGAAAUUUGAGAGGAGCUGUCCUUAGUACGAGAGGACCGGGAUGGACAUACCUCUGGUGUACCAGUUGUCGUGCCAACGGCAUAGCUGGGUAGCUAUGUGUGGACGGGAUAAGUGCUGAAAGCAUCUAAGCAUGAAGCCCCCCUCAAGAUGAGAUUUCCCAACUUCGGUUAUAAGAUCCCUCAAAGAUGAUGAGGUUAAUAGGUUCGAGGUGGAAGCAUGGUGACAUGUGGAGCUGACGAAUACUAAUCGAUCGAAGACUUAAUCAA